AAAAGGAUUUGUGGUUUUUGCC
rnacentral:miRNA from 1 species